GGACCCACUUCGGCCUGUAUGGACUGAUAGCACAGAGACGCCAACGUCAGUCUGUACCAACUGACAGCACAAAGACCCACAUUGAUGUGUAUGGACUGACAGCACAGAGACGCCAACGUCAGUCUGUAUGGACUGACAGCACAAAGACCCACAUCGGUGUGUAUGGACUGAGAGCACAGAGACAGCAACAUCAGUCUGUAUUGACUAACGUAACACCAUGGUAACACCAACAUCAGUCUGUAUGGACUGACAGCACAGAGACCCACAUCGGUGUGUAUGGACUGACAGCACAGAGACCAGCAUUGGUGUGUAUGGACUGACAUAACAGUGUGAUAACACCAAUGUCAGUCUGUACCCACUGAUAUAACAUCAUAAUAACACCAACAUCAGUGUGUAUGGACUGAUAUAACGCUGUGAUAACACCAAUGUCAGUCUGUACCCACUGAUAUAACAUCAUAAUAACACCAACAUCAGUGUGUAUGGACUGCUAUAAUGCUGUGAUAACACCAGUGUCAGUCUGUGCCCAUUGAUAUAACACCGUGAUAACACCAACAUCAGUGUGUAUGGACUGAUAUAACACCGUGAUACCACCAACGUCAGUCUGUAUGGACUGACAGCACAGAGACACCGACGUUGGUCUGUAAGGACUGACGUAACAGCAUGAAAGCACCAACAUCA
rnacentral:lncRNA from 1 species